UUACGGCCAUAUUACGUUGAAACACCGGUUCCCGUACGAUUACCGAAGUUAAGAAAUGUCAAGCCUGGUCAGGACCUAAGUGGGUGACCGUUUGGGAAUACCAGAUGCUGUAAG